rnacentral:lncRNA from 1 species
GGGAGAAGAGAAAAAGAAGAGAGAAGAAGAAGAGAAAAGAAGAAAGAAAAGAAGAGAAAAAGAAGAAAGAAAAGAGAGAAGAAGAAAGAGAGAGAAAAUUCAGUGAGCCUCACAUAUUGUAAACUCUAAAGUUGUAGCCCUAUUAUUUUAUAUAGUGAAAAAGUUACUGCUGCUGCUCUCCGAGGACGUAGGCAUAGCCGAACCUCGUUAAAUGCUGUGUCUCAUCUACUUUACGUGCAGCUCAAUAUUCAUACAUAUUCCAGGUUAUUUUUAUAACACGUUACCAGCACGAGAAGCUCUCAGGUAUAAUUUUUGUGCUGCACUAUUAUCUAUACUACUAACCACUAACAAAAAUGGACCCUUGGUAAUACUAAACAUAUUAUCAGUGGGAGACCGUUACUAAUACUAACUUUUUCUUAUUUUAUUCGGUGGUGGUUUUAACCCCACAUUUAUUUACUGUAUGGUGUAGGUUUAUUACCCAUACAUGCACCUUUACUUUAUCGCAAAUUUAUUUUACCGCAUAUUUAUUUUAUUUACUGUAUGGUGUAGGUUUAUUACCCAUACAACAGUAUUUAUUUAAAAGGGUGGUGCGGGUUUAUCGUCCACGCCUUUGCUUUUAUUUAAAUGUAUGGAGCAGAAUUAGUGCCCAUACAAGCACAAUUUACUUUACCGCACAUUUAAUUUUAUUUAAAGUAUGGUGCGGGAUUAACGUCCAUACAGCAAGCAAUUUAAUUUAUGAAUUUAAUUUACCGCACAUUUACAUUUAUUUAAAAGGGUGGUACGGGUUUAUCGUCCACGCCUUUACUUUUAUUUAAAUGUAUGGAGCAGAAUUAAUGCCCAUACAAGCACCUUAACUUUAUGAAUUUAAUUUACCGCACAUUUACAUUUAUUUAAAGUGUGGUGCGGGUUUAUCAUCCAUACCAGUAAUUUAUUUAUCAGCAAUUUAUUUUAUGGAUUAAUUGUGCUGCAUGAUGAGUUUUUCCAGUAUGUAGAUCAGGACCAGAAGUUCCCUGAUCCUCAUCAUACAAUUACAUCAGGACUUGAAGAUCCUUGAUGAUGAUAUUAAAAUGAGAGCUGGCAGUCUCACCGGUACUGUAUUUGUAAACAUGUGAUUGGACUUAAAGGUCCUUGAUCCCUGACAUGUAAAUAAGGACCUAGAGUUCCUUAAUGAUGUAACAGUACCGUAUUGGUUCAUAGUGCCGUACACAUUGAUGAUAACUGUACUGGCAGAUGAAUAAAUACGUAUUCAUGACUUGAUGAAAAGUACUAUUCACAUGAAUAGUGACGUAUGCAUAAAUAUUAACCAUUUUGGGUAAACCGUUACUAUAUACAAAAGGGAACCUGCAGUUCCUUAAACUCAUGGAUGAGCAAUUAAAUGAGAUGCCAGAAGUUCCUCAAAAUAUGAACAAUUAUGUAAGGGCUUGAAGUCCCGAAAUAUGUACAGAAAAUUGUAAAAAUGUCCAUACCAUGAGAAUAUGUGGCUUUGGCCUGAAGUUCCAAAUUUAACAGUGUUGAGAACCUGAAGUUCCAACAAUUAAAUGGACAACCCUUGAGGUAUUAUUGCAAAUUGUGGUAUGCCACAUAUUUCUUUGGCAUAAGAAGAUGAUGAAUUUAAUAAAGUUCGAUUUUGUUAUAAUCGACACCUCAAGGAAGAAAUAUAUUUUGUGAAUUCCGGUUGUUAAGAAUACACCGCGAAAUGGAUAAUAUUAAUAUAAACCUCAAAUAAUGAAUUGAGACUCCCCACAUAUUUUGUUAUAUCUGGGCCGGAAGCCCAUGGAUCCA